rnacentral:lncRNA from 1 species
GAUUUCUUUUUAAACCUUCUGUAUUUCUAACAAAACCCUCUUAAAUUCUUGUUUUCAUGCUUCUAUUGAACUAGGUUGCCAAGCUUUUUUCCCAUAACGAAUUGAUUGAAUGUGUCAACUGACUCAUUUUAUUUUUCUAGAGUUGGUUCAAGGAAACCAACAUAUCAAUUUUUGAUAGGAUAACUUCUCUAAAUAGGAGUUUUGAUUGGUUAAACAAAUUUCAAACAUUUCAUUGAAAUUCUUAAAAAUGGUCAUGAUUUGUAGUGAUUGGCUGAUUGUAGUUUCUAGCAACUAAAAGCAGGACCAGACACAGGAAUCAAACAGAACAGAAAGUUAAGACAGAGAACAGGGAGAAUAACAGACAAUUAAAAUAAUUAACCGAAGUUUCUUUGAGUUUAAGAUAGCUCCUUAUCAACAAGCUAAAGUAAAGUUGAUUGUCUUUUGACAGAAGCUUGAAAAAUGUCGGCAUCAUCAUUAUAGAAAUCUUGCUACGCAUUUCUUGUCACAGUUGUUAUUGUGUCAUUUCCCCAUAAUUAUGCAUAGGAAUAAAGCACAGAAGAAAACUAGAUAAUCAUCGGCUAUUGAAGGUUGCUUAAUAUGGAGUGAAAUCUUUUAGAGACUGAAUAUUCAUCCAUGAAUAUAUCCAUUAAUGAACUGAAAGCUCUAUUUGCUUGAAAUGAUUGAAAGCCUUGAAGAAUAAGGAUUCAACUGACAGAUAAUCCCCGUCCCCUCCAAAAACCUCCAUCACCCCCCCCCCCCAACCACAAAAUGGGACACAAAUUCAAUUGAAUGAAUCUUCUAAAUCUUAGAAAAUAAGGGGGCUUGGCCCAACAGUUCAUUAAACAAUUAUAAAACGACAAUGUUUUCAACUUUCAAGAGAGUGCCUUGAAAGCAUGAAUAUGAACAAAGAAGCAGCAAAUUAUGGAAUUGAUUUGUAGUAAUUGCAUCCAGCAAGCCUAUCUGUGUGCCGGCCAUGACCUGCAAGCAAUGCAAUCACACAAGAGAUACAAUAAACAAUGUAAAAGUGAAAUUUAAUUGGAACGUAUGAUCAAGUGUAAGUAUUUUC